GGUUGCAUAGUGUAAUGGUUAUCACCUCAGAUUCUGAUUCUGAAGAUCUGGGUUCGAUUCCCAGUGCGACCU